rnacentral:rRNA from 1 species
AACAAACGGUGGCGGCGUGGAUAAGACAUGCAAGUCGAACGGGAUUUUAUUUGUAGCAAUACAAGUAAAGUUCAGUGGCGUAAGGGUGCGUAACACGUGGGCAAUCUGCCCAAGGGUGCGGGAUAGCUCGGCGAAAGUCGAAUUAAUACCGCAUGUGGCUACGGAGGGAUUCCUCUGGAUGCUAAAGACGGCGCAAGCUGUCGCUCUUGGAUGAGCCCGCGGCCUAUCAGCUAGUUGGCGGGGUAACAGCCCACCAAGGCUAUGACGGGUAGCUGGUCUGAGAGGACGACCAGCCACACUGGAACUGAGACACGGUCCAGACACCUACGGGUGGCAGCAGUCGAGAAUUUUUCUCAAUGGGGGAAACCCUGAAGGAGCGACGCCGCGUGGAGGAUGAAGGUCUUCGGAUCGUAAACUCCUGUCAUUUGGGAACAAAACUUCGGUUUAACUGACCGGAGCUUGAUAGUACUAGAAGAGGAAGAGACGGCUAACUCUGUGCCAGCAGCCGCGGUAAUC